rnacentral:ncRNA from 1 species
ACAAAAGCGAAGAAUAGAAAGAGUAAUUUCGGACCACGUUUUUUAGAGAGAUCCCGUUUGGUGAAAGGGAUUAACAAUGUUUGAAACGAAAAUCAUCUAUGAGCUGCCAGGCAAAUAAAGUAGUCUCGGCUGGGAAUUCCCAUUACAGAAUCUGCAAAUCAACGGGUUUGUUUGAGAUAUAUCGUUUAUCUUUAUGAAAUUAAUUUUGAAUCGGUAUAACAAAAAGGUGGUACCGCGCGCAAGCGCCCUUUAU